UACGAAGGGGGCUAGCGUUGUUCGGAAUUACUGGGCGUAAAGGCUCGUAGGCGGCCAACUAAGUCAGACGUGAAUCCCUCGGCUUAACCGGGGAACUGCGUCUGAUACUGGAUGGCUUGAGAUUGGGAGAGGGAUGCGGAAUUCCAGGUGUAGCGGUGAAAUGCGUAGAUAUCUGGAGGAACACCGGUGGCGAAGGCGGCAUCCUGGACCAACACUGACGCUGAGUGAGCGAAAGCCAGGGGAGCAAACGG
rnacentral:rRNA from 1 species